GAACGCUGGCGGCAUGCCUUACACAUGCAAGUCGAACGGCAGCACGGGAGCAAUCCUGGUGGCGAGUGGCGAACGGGUGAGUAAUAUAUCGGAACGUGCCCGGUCGUGGGGGAUAACGUAGCGAAAGUUACGCUAAUACCGCAUACGAUCUACGGAUGAAAGCGGGGGAUCGCAAGACCUCGCGCGAUUGGAGCGGCCGAUAUCAGAUUAGGUAGUUGGUGAGGUAAAGGCUCACCAAGCCGACGAUCUGUAGCUGGUCUGAGAGGACGACCAGCCACACUGGGACUGAGACACGGCCCAGACUCCUACGGGAGGCAGCAGUGGGGAAUUUUGGACAAUGGGCGCAAGCCUGAUCCAGCAAUGCCGCGUGCAGGAUGAAGGCCUUCGGGUUGUAAACUGCUUUGUACGGAACGAAACGGUGAGCUCUAAUACAGUUUGCUAAUGACGGUACCGUAAGAAUAAGCACCGGCUAACUACGUG
rnacentral:rRNA from 1 species